rnacentral:lncRNA from 1 species
GUACUGUUGAACUGUAUAUGCCUCGCUGAUCCGUAGGCAUAUAUAUUCAAUCUGUGGCUUGCUUUUAUGUACCUCAAUUUCCAAAGUCAGUUGGAUAAUAAUAACAAUAACAUCAUCGUCAUUAUACGAUUUUUAUCCAGAUAUAUAUAAUCAAUGCAAUAAUCAAAUGCAACAUGUGAAUGAAAAAAGGGCAUUCAGAAAGUAUUAUACCAUACCAGUUCGAAAUCAUUCAUAAUAGAGAUGAUGGAAUGGAGAUGGAGAUCAUUGCAAGAUCGAAGGAUCGGAAUCCAUGGAGGAUGUGAAAUCUCCCGCCCCACCGGCCACGGCGAUAGCGGGGAAAAAAGCAUAAGAAAGAGAACGAGGCACCGAACAACCGCGAAAUUUGGAAAUUUGAAAUUAGGAUUCAAUAUUUACAGCGAUAGAGUUAAGUAACAAGAUUUAAUACAAUGGGCAAUUUAUAUAAUAAAACAAAAAUUAGUAAUGAAG